rnacentral:rRNA from 1 species
UGAGGAAUAUUGGUCAAUGGGCGAGAGCCUGAACCAGCCAAGUAGCGUGCAGGAUGACGGCCCUAUGGGUUGUAAACUGCUUUUAUGUGGGGAUAAAGUGCGUGACGUGUCAUGCAUUGCAGGUACCACAUGAAUAAGGACCGGCCAAUUCCGUGCCAGCAGCCGCGGUAAUACGGAAGGUCCGGGCGUUAUCCGGAUUUAUUGGGUUUAAAGGGAGCGUAGGCUGUCUAUUAAGCGUGUUGUGAAAUUUACCGGCUCAACCGGUGGCUUGCAGCGCGAACUGGUCGACUUGAGUAUGCAGGAAGUAGGCGGAAUUCAUGGUGUAGCGGUGAAAUGCUUAGAUAUCAGGACGAACUCCGAUUGCGCAGGCAGCUUACUGUAGCAUAACUGACGCUGAUGCUCGAAAGGGCGGGUAUCAAACAGG